AGCGAACGCUGGCGGCAGGCUUAACACAUGCAAGUCGAGCGGGCAUCUUCGGAUGUCAGCGGCAGACGGGUGAGUAACACGUGGGAACGUACCCUUCGGUUCGGAACAACUCUGGGAAACUGGAGCUAAUACCGGAUACGCCCUUAUGGGGAAAGGUUUACUGCCGAAGGAUCGGCCCGCGUCUGAUUAGCUAGUUGGUGGGGUAACGGCCUACCAAGGCGACGAUCAGUAGCUGGUCUGAGAGGAUGAUCAGCCACACUGGGACUGAGACACGGCCCAGACUCCUACGGGAGGCAGCAGUGGGGAAUAUUGGACAAUGGGCGCAAGCCUGAUCCAGCCAUGCCGCGUGAGUGAUGAAGGCCUUAGGGUUGUAAAGCUCUUUUGUCCGGGAUGAUAAUGACGGUACCGGAAGAAUAAGCCCCGGCUAACUUCGUG
rnacentral:rRNA from 1 species